rnacentral:misc_RNA from 1 species
GCAGACGAGGAAGCACCUGCCUCUGCAAUGUGUCAAAAGAAAAAUGAAAAAAGAAGUCAGUACUCGAAGGUCAAUAUGAUGUCAGUUGGUAAAAUAUUCAAACAUGCAUAUAUAGUUUUGGCAGUAAACAUAGCCAUGCACAAAAGUUCAGAGCUCAACAUGGAAUUUCCUUCCACGAUUUAUCAUUUCGCACUACCAGAUUACUGGCAGGCAAUGCAUAAAGCAAAGGCAGUAAUCCUCCCCACAAAUAAUUGUGAAAUUAAAAGGCUUUAUGACAUACCACCAGUAUACAUCAAUCAUAUAUACCUAGCAAAUGGAGGAAGAGACACAGACUGUUAAGCACAACCAUGGUUUAAAUCUUCUCUAACAUAUAUCGCUAACCAGAUACAUGUUACAUAAAGGUCGAGUGCUUUAACUCUAGUUUUUGUAAACAAAUCUGUUUUUUAGAGGCAAACAUCUUUUUUGUUAAUAUUCAACAACAGACAUAAAAGUAUCACACAAAAACGGAUUUUAUCCAUUUUUCUUGGGAAGGAAACAGUCACUAACCCUGGGGCUUCUUGCCAUCGUCAA